UGGGGAAUAUUGCACAAUGGGCGAAAGCCUGAUGCAGCAACGCCGCGUGAGUGAUGAAGGUCUUCGGAUUGUAAAGCUCUGUCUUUUGGGACGAUAAUGACGGUACCAAAGGAGGAAGCCACGGCUAACUACGUGCCAGCAGCCGCGGUAAUACGUAGGUGGCGAGCGUUGUCCGGAUUUACUGGGCGUAAAGGGUGCGUAGGCGGAUGUUUAAGUGAGAUGUGAAAUACCCGGGCUUAACUUGGGUGCUGCAUUUCAAACUGGAUAUCUAGAGUGCAGGAGAGGAGAAUGGAAUUCCUAGUGUAGCGGUGAAAUGCGUAGAGAUUAGGAAGAACACCAGUGGCGAAGGCGAUUCUCUGGACUGUAACUGACGCUGAGGCACGAAAGCGUGGGUAGCAAACAGGAUUAGAUACCCUGGUAGUCCACGCCGUAAAACGAUGNGUACUAGGUGUAGG
rnacentral:rRNA from 1 species